ensembl:lncRNA
CUUUCUCCUAAGAAGAAUAGGAACAGAGCAGUUGGACAUGGCCAGAGGUUCCUGUGACAUUCCUUCAGUUUUCAGUGUGAACUGCAGAGAAAAGACAGCAAUUUUGAUUUGUCUUGCAGAAUAGCCAGUGCCCCAGACCUGAAAACAGAAGAGGUGCACGUGUCCAAUCAAGAAUACUUGGAAUACUUAAUUGGACACAUAAUAUAUGACUAUGGAAAUGCAAUGAUGCUUGAGUGCUGCUCCUCACUGAGCACCACAGUGUGUGUCACGAUUCCUGCCGGAUUCUCUGCCCUGGCUGGAAAGGCAGAUCAGAGAGUGCUUGGGUUUGUGGUCCCUGCAUGGCAGCACAAAAGGAGAUGAAGAGGAAAUGGUAGGCGUCUGAAGAAGGGAUUUGGGCAGAGCUGCUGGUUGUGCUUUUGACAAACAGAAACCUGCACAAACACCGGCGAGGGUGGAAAGAGUCCUGGCUAACUUUGGAAGAUGCCUCCAGAUGACUCCAGUAGGCCUUUUCACAGAUGCAGCCAUCUGUGACAUUGUGGUCACAGCCUCUCCACCAACUUAGACAUUUCCACAGGGCCGGAGCAGCUGAAGCACUCUCAUAAAGUGUUCCCAACACCCACCUUGUUUCUCUCACUUUGUAUUUUGUCUGGCUUUGAAUACCUUGGACCAAUAUGGAGUUAAUACCCCUUAGUUCCCUGAAAUAGAGUGCUGUUUUGAUAGUGUUAUAGCUAGUGUCUAGAUGUCCCUCCAAAGCCUCAUGCAGUCAGAGGUGGGGCUUUUUCAGAAGUGGCUGGAUCUCACGUGUGUGACACUGGAAUUGAUUCACGGUAGAAUGCUAGGCUCAAAGGCACUAGGAUUAAGGGAGUGAGUGCUACCUACCCUAAGUAGUCUGGAUAAGAUUUCUUUUUAAAAAGGGCAGAAAGACACUGUUAAGGUCCCUUUUUGCUUUGCUACCUUCUGCCCGCCAUGAACUGUUCUCCUCUGCAAUACCACCCUGCCUUGGAGCCAGCCAAUUAUGGACUGAAACAUCUACAAAUUGUGAGCUAAUAAACCUUUCCUUUAAUUUUGGAUGUCGGGUAUUUUGUCUCAGCAAUGAGAGAAAAGUAACUAAGACAGAUAGUGACGGCUUAUUAAGUGAGUGGUAGCAUUUAUAUUGGCACAGGACUUCUACAUACAUUACUUAGACUUGAUUCUCACAACUCAUGAUGGCAAGAAAAGCAAGUGAUAAAUAGUUACCCCUUGGUAUCCUUGGGAAAUUGGUUCUAGGACUCUCCCACCUCAGGUACCAAACUGGGUGGAUUCUCAUAUCUCUUCUAUAAAAUGUGUAGUAUUUGCAUAUAAUCUAUGCAUGUCCUCCUGUGUGGGCUAAAUCAUCUCCAGG